rnacentral:rRNA from 1 species
UACGUAGGGUGCGAGCGUUGUCCGGAAUUAUUGGGCGUAAAGAGCUCGUAGGCGGUCUGUCGCGUCGGUCGUGAAAACUUGGGGCUUAACCCUGAGCUUGCGGUCGAUACGGGCAUGACUGGAGUUCGGCAGGGGAGACUGGAAUUCCUGGUGUAGCGGUGAAAUGCGCAGAUAUCAGGAGGAACACCGGUGGCGAAGGCGGGUCUCUGGGCCGAUACUGACGCUGAGGAGAGAAAGCGUGGGGAGCGAACAGG